rnacentral:rRNA from 1 species
AUGCGAGGUUUCAAUGAUACUUGGUGCUGGUGGGUUAAGCAAAUCCUUUACAAUGGGAAUGUUAGUAUUAAACUUAACAUCAAUGUGGGCCCAUAUUUUCAAAGCAAGAAAGGGGUCUGCCAGAGGGACCCUCACUCUCCUUUUUUAUUUAACCUGGCUGUUGAGUGCCUCACCAAAAUGAUUAAAAAUGCCCAGAAAAAUAAGCUGAUCAUGGGACCAGCUUCUGAUCUUAUUCCUGAUGGGGUGGCGGUCCUUCAAUAUGCAGAUGACACCAUCAUCUGCAUAGAAGAUGACAUUGACAAACCAAUCAACCUGAAGUUGUUGUUGUACAUGUUUGAUAUGAUGUCUGGCCUGAAAGUUAACUUUCAGAAGAGCGAAAUUCUUACUGUGGGUGGAGAUGAGACUGUUGUUAAUAAAUAUGCUGAGAUAUUCGACUGUGAGGUUGGCGUUUCCCACUUAGAUACCUGGGCAUGCCUGUCGGUUAUGCUAACCUGA